CAUUGCGGUUAGCGCUCUAGUAUUCUUAUUAUACCUCUAUGGGAGAACUCUAUCUUGUAUUUCUAGUAUCUUUGGUCAAAGGGAACUGUUGCCGAGUGAUCUCCUUCUCAAUAAUACCGCCAUAGUAGUGAGACAAUCAAUAGUCAAGCGAGUCUGGGGAGGAAACAUCAUCAUCAGGAAUACCUGUUUCUGAAUUCAUCAAGUUUCAAUCCCCAGGCUUUGUUUUUUUUAUCGACUCAGCAACAUUUAGGCUUCAAUCAACGGAUGACUCAGGCGAGAGUAUGUUGGGAUGUUUCCAUCGUAGCUCCGGAGUGUACAUGUAGGCCUAUUUAUCCUCCUCCUAUUUUUGAAGCAAGACUUCCAGACAUCGAAGAUUCUCGAUGUUGGCAAUGGUGGGAGUGGGUAGUAGUUUGUUUGAGCAUUAUAAUAAUAUGCAUUGCCGUCGGCUGUGUGGCUGCUUUUCUGAUGAAACGAAAUAGGGUUGGUAUAUUGAAAGAAAAAAAAGGUGAUCAAAGAAAGCCUGAGGUUACUUCUUCCUGUUGAUGAGGUGCUUUAAUUGUUUUUAUUGUUCCGGUACAGGAGUUUUAUUUUGUUUUGUACUGCUGUUGUAAGCUGUAGUAUUGUUUGUUUUUCAUUUUUUUGUUAGAAGUCGGCUUGCAGCAUUGGAAAAUGAUUCUCGUUAUAAGUAACAAUAACUACACAGGUAAAAUACACUACCUGUAUUAGCAUGGCCAGCGGAACCGAGGCCGGGCCCCCAACUUUUUGGCAAAAGAUAUAUUUUCAUUCAUCUUACUAGUGCCCCCCAACCCACUUUGAAAAACGUUCCGCCCGCCCUCCCUGAUUAGUGUGUUAUAUUUUUAGAUACCCAUUUACACACUGCGGCCCUAAUUAUACCUGUCUAUGUACUGUACACAAAUAUUUUGAUUGAUCAUUCAUUGAUGAAAAUUUCGUAGGCCAACAGUACUUAAGCCUACAUACCUUUUCAGAAUUGGACGAGAUGAACUUAAAAAAGUGUCGAUUUUGAUUUUGGUUAUCAACACAUAACAAGCCUUUAAAUUCCCACAAUACGCGCUGGCGCAACUCAACCAAUGACUGUUUGGGAUAUGUGUGGGAAAUACCGUAAGUGUGCUCAAAAUCAGUGGUUUGUGAGAAAACUCACUUUAAUUAGAAGAUAUAAAAUUAGUAUAGGACAGGGGUGGCGGGCUGAUCCUAUGAGGAAAAAAAAAAGUGGGUGUGGUCGAGCGUCGCUCAAAAUCCAUUGAAAGUGGUCCGGUGGCCAAAAAAUUAGGUUUCAAAGGCUUAUUUAAUCGACUUUUAGUGACUUCGUCUAAAUAUGUAGAAAAUACAUAGUUGUGGUCCUCAAUACAAUAUUUUCCUCCCUGACCCUGGGGGAAGGGGGGUGUAGUGUGCUAUUCAAUGCCAGAAUUCAAUAUAAAAUCCUUUUACUGACUUAUAAGUCACUGACUCUCAAUCAACCCGCAUACAUUAAUCAACUGCUUCCCAAAUAUGUGCCUGGCCGUUCCCUA